AUAAAGGGAAAACGGACUCACUAGGAGGACCUAGACUCUUUCAGCUUGAACUGUUAACCAAUGGUGGAAAUGCAAGAAUGCUGAAGUUGUUCCUUCGGAGCCAAUAGAGUGGAUUUGUGUGUCCCACAUGACUGUGUUUCCCCUGUCUUUCACAUGGGCAGUAUUUAGUUCAAUUCAGAACUGCAGAUAGUAUAGCGUGCAGAGCAGCAAUGGGAUGUCUGAGCACAAGUGGCUGACUUCCAGGCGACUUCAGGAAGCACAUUUUUACAUUUCUCCUGAAUUAAACUGGGAUUCUGCACCCUUGACAUCCUCCUACCCUCCUUGUCUCUGCAGGAGGAGACAGCGACCUGCACAGCACAACGAAACUACAAAUCACCACAGAGCUGCAGACCAGCAAAUGAAGUGAACUGAGGGCAAUUUGACCAACUUCAUCCAAGUCGAUUCCCCAGAAGUUGAUGAAACGUGUUAUCGGGUCUCCAAGAAUACCACAAGCCUCGCAAGGUGCCUGUAUGAAAGGAACACACUUGGGCCAAACCAUCCCGUCAAUAUUAAACAAAGCACAGCCCAGUUCUGGCAUUCUUUCUUCUCUGAAGAAUUCUCAUGCCAGGUAGUUGAAAAUAACUUGCUUAUUUCUUUGCUGUUGAAUUAUUAUUUUUUUCUAGCAUCCCCCUUUAAGCACUAUUUACAUUUUAAGAUUCUGGAAAGAUAUCUGCUGCUUCUAAAGGGCCACAUAAGAUGCAGCUGCUCCACCACACUAUGGGUGAAGGAGAGGCCUGGUUAUGGGGACCCCCACACCUUCUCUCUCUCACAUAGCGAAGUAAACUCC
rnacentral:lncRNA from 1 species